UAUUCCGGCCUCUCUCCCUCCCCCGCCCUUUUUCCUCUCUUCCCCUUUCAGCUGCUGCUAUUACGUGGAGUUUGGAGCCUAAGCUUUGAAAACUCCCAUGUGGCGCCUGUCUAAAGUCGGAGCAUGCUCAGUA
rfam:Equus caballus cont2.2459, whole genome shotgun sequence.